UAAACAUACAGUUCUUUGCACACAAAAAAGUUACGGGACACUGAACUGUAUGCUGUUUGUGGAAAAUGCUCUAUCCAGUUACCUCUUGACCCCUAUGAGGACAAAAGCAAUGAGACACACAAACUUUGUGAGUUAUAGCUGUUUGUGCACUGUGAAACGGAAGUUUCCACCCCAGUAAUUCCCGAAUGGAGGGAAAAAAGGAAAAAGUGUUUGUGUAAUUUUUCUUCUUUAUGAGUUACAAAGUCAUACACACAUGCAUCAAAUGAAAUAGCUUUUCACUGGCACUCAAUAAUGGACACAAAAUCCUUCUUGCGGCUGCUGUGGGAUUGAUGUUGAACUCGCACUGGGACAGAUGUCUUUGUCUGGUUUUGGGGCAGUGGAGUGUUAAACGGCCCCGGCAAGAGUGGCUCCCCCCACACACACUCACUGCCAGCCGAACCAAAUUGUACUUUAACUCCAGGAAAGAUGAAAUGCUGCCUCUCAUGAGGGUUGCUGUCUAUCCGGCAUCUCGCCGACAUUUAUGGAAGAAGAACUCGCCGUUGCAUGGCUUCCGCUCGACUGACAAGCUCUGAAAAAAGCAAAGCAUAUCACGACUGUCAAGAGCAGCAAGUUCUGCUCUGAAACUGCACAGCAGGACCAGAUCUGAUCUUCAGCAUUAACUUGCAGUUCUGAAAAUGGGUAGGUGAAACAAUUCAGAGUGCCCUGCCCGGUCAGAACAGAACCAAUCCAGGUGACAUCAAACUCUCCCUGAAGGCAACACACGCACAUCAGUGCAGAAAACAACAGCACUUUGCAUCAUCAGCAAACAAGAGCAAGGUUUGAGAGCUUUCUGAAAGACAGUCCCAUGUUGGUUUUGGUAGCUUUGCUGUGGAAAUCCAGUCCAUGCUAAAACAGUCCACUGGAGUGAACCGUCGCAUGCGUCUUCAUCAUACAAUCAGAAAUGCAGACAAGAGCACGUCUUUGCUAGAAAGCAUCAUGGGGGGAAUUUGCACAUACAGUCAAUGCCAGGAGGUUUAGCCGAGGAGUACGGCAAACUGUUUUUCUUAAGUGUUACCAACCUAAGUGCUCCCAAAGAUUCCAAUAGAGUCUGUCACGGCGGAUCCGGCCCUCACAACGCAAGAUAAAAUGGCUCAUAAAAGUGCAGGCAAGUGAGCCCAUUUGUGUCUAUUAGAGAGAAAAGUUCCAGCAAGCCAGUCAUUGCUUGUCACUGUGGAGAUUCCUGCGGGAAUGCACUCUCUCCACCUGCGGCUAGCGCGUUAUUAUUUUACCUCCUUCCUUCUUUAUCCCUUUCUGUGAACUCAGAGGAGAAUGCAAGCUCUUCUUCUUUUGAAGAAGAGAAAUGUAUGUGUUUGCUCUUCUCUUAACAGCUAAAUUAGGCCGUGGACUGUGAGUGUGUAGGAUCCUGGAAACACGGAACAAAUGGAAUUAUUUGCCAGGACUUGUCUGAUCACACCGUUAUCUGGAUCUACAUUCCUUCUUUCAACUAGUAGGCCUAUAAGUACUGACAAGUAUAUAUGUUAUACUUAACUGCCAUUCUGUACUACAUUUAAAAACUACAUUUAAAAUAUAAUAAUGAUAAUAAUAAUAAUAAUAAUAAUAAUAAUAAUAAUAAUAAUUACAAAAACACAACAAAAUCACAAAAAUUUUAACUAAAUUUAAAAUGAAAACAUGGUAAAUUAUUAUUAAAAUGUAUUUAUUUAUUUAUUAAAAUAUUAAUUAAAAAUCUAAUUAAUAUAAACUAUAAAAGUAUCGCAAUUAUACUAAAAUAACUGUUAUUUUUACAUCUUACAAAUACAUACAUUUAUUUUAAAAUUGGUUUUAGUGCCUUAAUUGGCUGAAAUACAUUCAUAAUCUUUAAAUACUUUAUAAUAUUUAUAAUUGGUCUCUCUAUCUCUCUGUGUGUGUAUAUUUUAUACUGUACAUAUAUGCAACUUUUUUACACUACUUUGUUUUCAUUAAUUUUUUAUAACAUCUAUUCAUGCUUAAUAAUAAUAAUAAUAAUAAUAAUAAUAAUAAUAAUAAUAAUUUUAUUAUUAUUAUUAUUAUUAUUAUUAUUAUUCACAAUGGAUGUUGUUGUUUUUUGCAGCCUUAUAAUGAUAUUUUUUCAAAAAUGUUUCAAAAUGACUUAUAAUGGAUCAGUUUUUAAUUAAAAUUUUAAUCUUCAUAUUAUUUAUUGGACACAGUUAUAUAUGGAUUAUUGGUGUCAGUCAUAAAAAACAGUUUUGGUUAAUAUGUAACUUAUUUCACAUAUAGACGUCCUCAAUGUACAUUAUCUUAUUGGCAAGCAGUAAUAAAAGAAUGAAAGGACAGUACUUGAUCGUCUCUGUAUUAAAUAUGCUUCAGUGCUGUUCUGACAUUCUUAUGUGACCCAUAAAAACAUGUAUAUCAGUUCGCUGGCUCAUCUGAUUCACCGCUGACAGCAGGCCUAUGUAAUAUAGUCAUUUCAUCUGCAGAUGAGUGACCCCCAAAACUGCACAUUUCCGUGGAAGGUUUCAAAGAUGUCUUUCUUUGCGCUCAGAACAGCCUGAGUUGCAGCAGCAGAAGCAGAAGAAAGAUGAAGACAGAAAUGAGAAAGAGAGAUGAAGAAAUAGAAAUGAAAGGCAAACAUCAUUCAGAAGUGAUGGCAGAGAUCCAUCAGGCUGCCGGCUCUCACAGUAACGGAUAAAGAAGGGAAAAAACCCACUCCGACUCCGAUUCAUAUUGAUGACUGAGGAUCCUCAUCGGCCUGAAAAACAAGCGGGCAGGAAUGAGGUGUAUUUUCCAGCUUGAGUUCCAGGGCAUGUUCCUAUUAGUGGGGCAGCAGUCCUGAAGGAAACGGCAUGAGUCUGCAUGGAUAGAUGGCCUGUCACCCAGCCACACAGUUAUUCCUCUCCUGUCCUACAAUGAGCCGUAAUGGCCCGGGAGGUGAGAGAGGGACAGAGAGAGAGAGAGAGAGAGAGAGACUGGCUAUUAAUCUAACAUUCUGUAUAUCCUGGCUCACCUACUGAUAUGUCUUUUCCAAUCGCUGCUAUAAAACAUGUGCUGCGUUCUUUGUGUUCAGUGAUCUAAUGACAGUGGCCUGGGAAGUUUGGCAAAGCUCGUAAAUGUCAUCAACAGAUACACAUUUAGCAGGACAUUUACACACAAUUCACACCAGUAUUAAACUAUCAUAAAUUUGUAUUAUUUUGGCCAAGUUCCUGACGGUAGCUAUUGCAGUAUACUGCUGUUUUAAAGUUUUGUAAGCAGCAAGGAUUCAUUAAAUCGAUCAAAAGUGACAGUGAAGACAAUCAUAAUGUUACAAAAGAUUUCUGCUUCAAAUAAAUGCUGCUCAAAUCAACUGUUUUCAACAUUGAUAAUAAUCAGAAAUGUUUCUUAAGCAGCAAAUUAUCAUAUCAGAAUGAUUUCUGAAGGAUCAUGUGACACCGAAGACUUUGAUCACAUAAAUUACAUUUUUAAAACGUAUUCACAUACAAAACAUUUAUUUUAAAUUAGAAUAAUAUUUCACAAUAGUUUUUUAAUAGUUUUAAAACAUAAAAAAAAUCUUACCUACCCCAAACUUUUGAACCAUUGGUAUGUUUAAAUGAAAUAUAUACAUAAUCAGAUGCACAUUCUCAUGGCUUACUGUUUUUAUGUUUGCGUAGAUGUUUAGAAGCUAUUAAAAUAGGAAGACAUUUAGUCAGUUUUCAGAUGAGUUUUUCAGAAUAAACUACAGUAGGUGCCAGACUUUUCGCUCCUAGUUAAAAAUCUGUCCGGGGGUUGAGGGCAGCGCUGUGAACCUUGGCUCUGGUCUGAGCUGGAUUUGGCUGCAUUUGUUUCUCUGUUGUCCAAUCAGCAGGACAGCCGUUAACUGUUCAGUAGGCAUUUGGACCAGGACACUUACACAGAGUUUUAUUCAGUGGCUACAGAUGAGCAGCCCACAAAAAAACACAUCAUCAUCAUCAUCAUCAUCAUCAUGCAUGUGAAUAUUAAAUUAACAAAAUUAUGAUUUGUAAUAUUUAUUUUAUGCAAUACAUUGUUAUUUUCGUAUUAUUAAGGUAUAAGUAGUUUUAUUAAUAGUUUGAAUAAUUUCGUUCUAAUUUUAGUUUUAAGUAAAAACUAGUUUUUUUUUCUGUUUUUGUCCUUUUUCAUUUUCUUUUUUA
ensembl:lncRNA